rnacentral:rRNA from 1 species
UACAGAGGUCUCAAGCGUUGUUCGGAUUCAUUGGGCGUAAAGGGAGCGUAGGUGGCGGGGUAAGUCGGAUGUGAAAUCCCGGGGCUCAACCUCGGAACUGCAUUCGAUACUGCUUUGCUAGAGUACUGGAGAGGAGAUCGGAAUUUACGGUGUAGCAGUGAAAUGCGUAGAUAUCGUAAGGAAGACCAGUGGCGAAGGCGGAUCUCUGGACAGUCACUGACACUGAGGCUCGAAGGCCAGGGGAGCAAACGGG